rnacentral:rRNA from 1 species
AUUGAACGCUGGCGGCAGGCCUAACACAUGCAAGUCGAACGAGUGGCGGACGGGUGAGUAAUGUCUGGGAAUCUGCCUGAUGGAGGGGGAUAACUACUGGACACUGUCGCUAAUCCCGAAUCCCAUCGGAUGACCCCAGAUGGGAUUCGCUUGUAGGUGGGGAAAAGGCUCACCUCGGCGACGAUCCCUAGCUGGUCUGAGAGGAUGACCAGCCACACUGGGACUGAGACACGGUCCAGACUCCUACGGGAGGCAGCAGUGGGGAAUAUUGCACAAUGGGCGCAAGCCUGACGCAGCCAGGCCGCGUGUAUGAAGAAGGCCUUCGGGUUGUAAAGUACUUUCAGCAGGGAGGCGUUACCCGCAGAAGAAGCACCGGCUAACUCCGUGCCAGCAGCCGCGGUAAUAC